rnacentral:lncRNA from 1 species
AUUUUGUCAGUCAUCAACAAGAAAAUUGUAGAUUAACACAUUUUUCAUACUUUAAAAAAGUAUUGAUUUUUAUUUCAGGGAUAAAAUCAGGUGUUUACGUUUUCAUCUAGUGUCUAGGAACUAUGUGAUCAUUUCACACGAAGAUCGACUUGCUUGCAGAAAGAAAUAAUACGGUUUAGUCAAAUGUUGUUUAGUGUACAACGAGGGCAUAGCCUCUAAAUUGUUGGAUAUAUUGUGCAAACUAAAAUGUGAAGAAAAAAACCCAAGACAAGACAGCAGCUUUUAUCUAUUUAUACCAUAACAACUUUUGAAAACAGCACCAACAGCUGGAUAUAUGUAUGUAUACCAUUAGCAUAACAACUUUGAGAAACAACGCAGACAGCUGAGUAUAAUUUGAAACAGCAAUGUUGUCAUACCACGAUUCUAUGAACAGCUAUAUGCUUAUUUAUGCUUGUUUGAUAUGCAGUGUACUUGGAUUGACUUUAGUUUCAUAUUUUCUGGCACAUACAUUCAAGACAUGCAAACAAUGGCUGAGAUAAAACUAGACGGCUCAAACAAUGGUUUGAGUAGUAGAUAGUAUAACAGUGCAUAACGUAUCUCAGCAAAUAUUGGACAUGAGGAUUCGGGAGACAGUGGACGAAAUGAUGUCCGUGCAUUUGCAGCAAUAUUAACUUAAAUGUACUUUGACAUAUCCAAUGAGAAAAUUGCCUAUAAUUUCUAAACCAUUGAUACAUUUUGUGUGUACAGACACUGAUUUGAGGAAUAUUUUCAUGUUUUGGUUGCAUACAUAUAUAUUGUUUUCUCGUUUUGUGAUAUCUUACUAUAUUGUUCGGUAUUUCGAUAUAGUACAUAUCACAAAUGUUGAUAUUGUAUAACAAAGUAAAGUGCUUUCUACUUCAUCAUUGGGUGUUGCUAAACGGCGGAAACGGAAUACGGAACGGAAACGGAAACUGAAAGAAUUGACAUCUUUUCUUUUUGGUUAUCUCAUCUAAAUAGGCAUGUUUUAUAAAGUAUAACACAUGUUUACAAGAAAGAACAACAGAGGAAUAAAUCUGAAAUAAAAGAUUUUAGAGCAUAAAGUGCAGGACAUAUCAUGAUGAAAUACAAGAUCCUAGGCUAGAUCAUGCAUACGUCGUUUAUGUGAUUCAGGAAACGGUUCGACUUUUCUUAUUUAAAAAAAGUUGAAUAAAUGUCAAUAAGAUAGUAACCCAACAGCACAAAAAUAAAUUUACAUAUGGCCAAAAAGGUGGACAUUGGCCUCAAUUCUA